rnacentral:lncRNA from 1 species
AUACUUUCAAAGAUAGGAGAAUAAAGAGGGCGUCAAGUCACGUUCGUGGUAUUUUUUUCAACAAUACUCGCCGUGUGGUGGCCAGUGGUCAGAAAGCGUCAGUCGUUGGAACAGGUGGAGUAACUCGUUCAUUGCCGGACUAUUUCGUCGUUUUCUUUACAAUACUGAAGCCUCUGGCUUAUCUACUGUGUUUUGAUGGAUUAUUGAAGUGAAUGAUAAUAGAGACUUUAGAAAUAACUGACAUUAUUGGUAUAUAAACGGUGGUGAUGUGUCAACAAAUCGCAAUUGACAGGACCCAAACACCGACAGGCUGUACACAAGUCUCCUGCAGAUGAUGAUUGAUCCUCCACUGGCAAUUUCAUUUGGACACUGUAAGGAGGAUAAGAAGAAGUGUGGGAUAUUGUACAGAGGAUUACAAAAUAGUUUGGUGGUCUGAAGAUUAGAGAAAAGGGCAGUGUCCAAAGGAAGGCUGCAGUGGAACACAAACUUGC